rnacentral:lncRNA from 1 species
AAGUUUGAGUUUUUUUCUUUUAUUUAUUUAUUUAUUUAUUAAAAAAAAAUCUUUUUUUUUUUCGUUUUUUUUUUUCAUUUUUUUUUUUAAAAUAAAGUUUCUUGGAUCUGAUUCUGAUUGACACGAUGAAAUGCAAUAUGAAAUGUUAAAUGACCUAAAAAUGAAUACAUGAAUGAGGAGGGCAAAUUUUGGGGUGUUACAGCUGCCCCUAUUCAGUCAUCAGCUAACCCGAGCAAGAUGAAAGCCAACAGCUUAUCAGAUAAACAGGGUGAGUUGUGAUUGAAUACCAAAGACAAACCGAAAAUUUGCGCUCCGAGAACACCACAAAAAUGCUGAAAUACACCGCGCUGUUUAUUUUUCUUCCGAUCCUCUGG